GGUUUACCCAUUGGUCAGGCUUAAUUGUCUGUACUGGUGAGAUAAAUCUCUACCUUCUGAGGAACUUUCAUGUCAUUAAUUUGGUGUGAUUGGAAAUCAGGACUGUUACUUUGAAAAAAUUAGAGUGUUUAGAGCAGGCUAACGUCUGAAUACAUUAGCAUGGAAUAAUGAAAUAGGACGGAUUGAUUCUAUUUCGUUGGUUUCUAGGAUCACCGUAAUGAUUAAUAGGGAUAGUUGGGGGCAUUAGUAUUCAAUUGUCAGAGGUGAAAUUCUUGGAUUUAUUGAAGACUAACUACUGCGAAAGCAUUUGCCAAGGAUGUUUUCAUUAAUCAAGAACGAAAGUUAGGGGAUCGAAGACGAUCAGAUACCGUCGUAGUCUUAACCAUAAACUAUGCCGACUAGGGAUCGGACGAAG
rnacentral:rRNA from 1 species